GACUCGGUGGCGGAUGGCCCGCGUCUGCGAUUCAUAGUAUGUAACCCAGAGGAUCUGCAGAAGAUGCCUGUUCGAAUCAGGCUUGAGUCA